rnacentral:lncRNA from 1 species
AUUAGCCUUAGCAUAAAAUGAAUUUAGUGAAAGUUGUCUUUUCAAAAACUAACACACCUUAUAUUUUCGAACAAAUGGAGUAUUUGGUUUGGUGAGUUCGGGAGAUGACGGAGUGUGAUUUAUAUUUACUAGCAACAUGCCCGCACGUUGCAAUGAAAGAAAAAGCAUGACUCUAUCGAAAUAAACAUGGCUCAAGAAUCCUAACAAAUACACGUCCUCUAAUUCUACCUAAUCACAACACUUCAAAUGUGGUCCGCAGAGGAUGACCAUGAUGCCCACCUAAUCACAACACUUCAAAUGUGGUCCGCAGAGGAUGACCAUGAUGCCCACCUAAUCACAACACUUCAAAUGUGGUCCGCAGAGGAUGACCAUGAUGCCCACCUAAUCACAACACUUCAAAUGUGGUCCAUUCUAAGGCGACGAGUUUGCCACCGCGUGUCACACCAAUCAUUAAUUUGUCCACCCAAGGAAAUGUUCAAAACUUCAACAGCAAACCUCGAUGAGCUAAACAUGUGGGCCGCCCUUCUCAAGCCACUAUUUGCACCUGCUCCAUACACCGCAUCUCACACCCCUUCUCUUUUUUUGCACGAUUAAACAAUUAUUGCCAUGAAUCGGGUUUGGCCCCGUCAAGGAGGUGGGUCGUUACACAUCACCGAUGAUGAAAGGCUCGUCCAUGACAAAGUGAGUGGGCAAAAUGUAGACGGCGGUGUCAUACAAUGAGAUGUGACACCCGGUGUUCCUGCUUCCCUUUGUAGGAAAGGAUUUGUAUAACAUUGGCAACAACAUAUAUAAUGAGCGGUAACCAGGGUUUCUGUAUGUAUAAUCUAUAGUACUGUACGUACUUCUAUCAGCUAG